rnacentral:rRNA from 1 species
AUUGAACGCUGGCGGCAGGCUUAACACAUGCAAGUCGAGCGGAGCGAGGGUGCUUGCACCUUAGCUUAGCGGCGGACGGGUGAGUAAUGCUUAGGAAUCUGCCUAUUAGUGGGGGACAACAUUCCGAAAGGGAUGCUAAUACCGCAUACGCCCUACGGGGGAAAGCAGGGGAUCUUCGGACCUUGCGCUAAUAGAUGAGCCUAAGUCGGAUUAGCUAGUUGGUGGGGUAAAGGCCUACCAAGGCGACGAUCUGUAGCGGGUCUGCGAGGAUGAUCCGCCACACGGGGACUGAGACACGGCCCAGACUCCUACGGGAGGAAGCAGUGGGGAAUAUUGGACAAUGGGCGGAAGCCUGAUCCAGCCAUGCCGCGUGUGUGAAGAAGGCCUUUUGGUUGUAAAGCACUUUAAGCGAGGAGGAGGCUACUAGUAUUAAUACUACUGGAUAGUGGACGUUACUCGCAGAAUAAGCACCGGCUAACUCUGUGCCAGCAGCCGCCGUAA